ACCUGGGUGGCUCAGUGGUUGAGCAUCUGCCUUUGGCUCAGAUCAUCAUCCCGGGGUCCUGGGAUCGAGUCCCGGAUCAGGCU
rnacentral:tRNA from 1 species